rnacentral:tRNA from 1 species
GAGGGUGUAGCUCAAUGGUAGAGCUCUUGCCUAGCAUGCAUGAGACCCUGGGUUCAACCUCCAGCACUCCG